UUGACUGUGCUAAGGUAGCAUAAUAAAUUGGCUUUUAAUUGAAGUCGGGAAUGAAAGGGUGUUUGGAGUUAUCCUGUCUUAUUUUUAUUUUUUAAAAAUUACUCAUGAGGUGAAAAUUCCUCAAUUAUUAUCUGAUAGACGAGAAGACCCUAAGAAUUAUGACAAAUUAAUUAAAAUGAAUUAAUAAAAGUUUUUGUUGGGGCAACAACUUUGGAAGGUAAUAACCAAGGUAAUUAACUUUAUCUUAGAAAGAUUAUAUUAAAAAUGGAUUUAAUUACCUUAGGGAUAACAGCAUAAUUAUAUUUUAGAUUGUGACCUCGAUGUUGGAUUAAGGCCU
rnacentral:rRNA from 1 species